GUGGGGAAUAUUGGACAAUGGGCGAAAGCCUGAUCCAGCCAUGCCGCGUGUGUGAAGAAGGUCUUCGGAUUGUAAAGCACUUUAAGUUGGGAGGAAGGGCAGUAAGUUAAUACCUUGCUGUUUUGACGUUACCGACAGAAUAAGCACCGGCUAACUUCGUGCCAGCAGCCGCGGUAAUACGAAGGGUGCAAGCGUUAAUCGGAAUUACUGGGCGUAAAGCGCGCGUAGGUGGUUUUGUAAGUUGGAGGUGAAAUCCCCGGGCUCAACCUGGGAACUGCCUCCAAAACUGCAUGACUAGAGUACGGUAGAGGGUAGUGGAGUUUCCUGUGUAGCGGUGAAAUGCGUAGAUAUAGGAAGGAACACCAGUGGCGAAGGCGACUACCUGGACUGAUACUGACACUGAGGUGCGAAAGCGUGGGGAGCAAACAGGAUUAGAAACCCUAGUAGUCC
rnacentral:rRNA from 1 species